rnacentral:lncRNA from 1 species
AGGUGCCUUCUCAGAUUAUGCCACCCUCCCUUCUUGGUUUACAAUGAGGAUUACCUAUGAAUAUCGUGAGAGGUGAAAACAGUCUAUUUCACAUUUGGGUUUCAUAGAUUCAUUUGCUCUGAGUCUGAGGACAGAAGCUGAAUGCCAUAUGACGUAACCAUUAAUAUCUGUAGAAUAAGCAAAUGCAAACAAUGACCUUGAUUCCAAGAAUAAGUAUGGAAGUUUCGCAAUGCAGAGAUACUGGGAGGACAUCUGGGUCUGAGUCUUACAAACUACUGCAGCAGCAUAUGACAAAAUAAACCUACAUCAUAAAAACAGGUUACUGAUAAGUAUUUUACAUUCCAAAAAAAUGAAAAUAAUGUUUGUCUUUCAAACAAAAGAAUAAAAAGAAAUCAUUCAACCCAUGGUGUUAUAGCUUACAAGAGAUAAUGUCGCUAAAUAUCACUUAGAAGAAUAUUGUGUAAUAAAAUAAAUCACCCACCCCUCCCCGCCCCUCCACCAUACACAAAGGAAAGAUAAUAUUCUGGACGACAAAGACCAAAAAUCAAAUAAAAUAUCUAUAAAGUUCAAAAAAGUCAGUUGAAGUAGAUUCUUCGAAUUUCAAC